AAAAAAAGUCUGUCUCUAUGAAAUUAUUCUUUUAUUUGUAAAAACUGCUGUAUUGUAGUACAACUUCAGUGUUCAUGACUGCUUAUCCCUCAUUAGAUUUUGCACUGUGAAGGUUGAUGUGAUGCACAGGGUGAAACAACACUUCAUCUGUAAAAGGUUGAGCAAAAACUAAAUAGCCUUAAAUUACACUCGUGGCAGAAUAAAUGUUUUGAGUUUUUUUGCAAUCACAGUUUUGUUAAGCAGCAGAAUUUCUUUUGUUGAACUUGUAAACUUUCCAGUGCACGCUUGCUUUUGUUGACAAUAUGGGGUUUUUUGUUUGUUUGUUUUGUUUUUUUUCCCCCCAGCAUUUUCAAGAUAAGACCUAUUUUGAUGAUCAGAAGAACCUGGCACUUACUUAUAAGAAAAUGAGGAUCAAAUGUUAACUUAAGCAUUACUUAUUGUUCUGUCAUGGUAGACAUUUGCAGGGGUUUUGCAGAGGAUAAAAUGAAGAGGAUAAAAUGCUGAUGAAACAUAAUGUUAAUAAGAAUGAUGUAAAUACAUAAGCUGAUAAUUGUCUGGACAGUUGCAUGGAGUUAAGAGGUUCAAGCAAUUAUCUAUGCUUAUUGACAGGUCCAUAAACAUCUGCUUCCACUCCUGGCUGGGCUUUACCAGCCAGAUGAAAAAUUUCUGAGAAACCAAGAAACAAGAGGCUGCUGAAAGCCGUGAAAAUAGGAUUCAGCAUGGACCAACCAAGGAAGGCUUCACUGAGCCCUGACUUAGGGCUGAGGUCACCCUGUGAGAUUGCAAGGAAUUGCAUUCAGUCUUCAUAUUUAAGCUGAAAUCGAGGAUUUUCUCAAGCGAUUGGUGUCACGGUUUAGACAAGAUACUUAAGUGGAAAGGAGUGGACAAUUCAGCUUUCAGACCUCCUGUACGGGCAUAUCCAAUGUGCCAAGCCUGAUGCCAAACAUCAGCAAACCACACGCAUGGAGGCUGCCAUCCAACCACAGGGAAAAUUGUCAAAUAUUGUCAGGAGGUUGUCUGUCUACCACCAUCAGCACAGUGUGUAGAAGCCUGCACAAACCACCAGAGUUUGCCUCUUGCAGAAGAUCCUGCAUUCCUCUGAAUCAUGACUGUUUUCCCAAAGGCAUCAGAAAUGCUGAACACUGCCUAAGAAAAGGUGAAAACAGAGAGAUGAUAUUGCCUCUAACUUUCAACCAGCAAUUGGAAAUAAAAUCGGAUGAGGUUUGCAGCUGGUAAUCUGGGGACCAUGGAGAAAAAUCAGUGUGACCAAUAAAAAUGAAAACACUGUUCCUUUGUUUAUCAAACAAAUUAAUAAGGGUUUUAUGUAUCAAAGACUAUGUACUAUGAAAUAAACUCCAAUGUUAAGUGAAUUUAUAUAGCUUGCCUAUGUUUUCAUAGAGGCACACCCUUCAUUCUUUAUUACCUUUUACAAAUGAUUAGCUUAGCAGAAAAAAAUCCAUUUAAAUUAUUUUCAGAUAUAGACUUUUUUUUACGCCCCAAAAAUGAGCUUUCUCCCUGACAACUGUGUACUUUCUAAGAGGAAAAAAAUCACUUUAGUGUUAAAAAUCAACCUAUUGGAAGUUUGGUUAUAGUUAAUGCUAGUAUUUUCAAACCUGUGUAGCUAAAACUAGACCUAUAGAAGGAAAAAUGAAAGAAAACCUAAUUUGAAGAUACAACAAUUUAUCUCAAAUUUAUGUAUGCAUUAAGAAGAGCCUAUUGUGAGUACAAGGCAUAUUUCUUCUCUUCUCUAAAGGUGAUAUUUCAAAGUACUGAGCACCACCAGUGUUCAUCCCAGUUAAAUAAACUGAAACUGUAGGUAUUCAAGACCUGUGAAACUAAUUCACUUCUGCAUAACUACUUAACUUUGAAAAUUGUUACAGAUGAAAGGGGUGAGAUAUUUAGCAGAGAGAAAAAAAAUCCUGGGAGUAAAAAUAUCCCAAGGCUUUGCAAUAGCUUGGCAAAGGUAUUUGCCAUAUGUGGUAGUAUAGCAGAAAUGCUGAGUCACAGCUUGAACCAGUGACUGAGCACCUGGUGGGAA